UACGUAGGGUGCGAGCGUUAAUCGGAAUUACUGGGCGUAAAGCGUGCGCAGGCGGUUUUGUAAGCCAGAUGUGAAAUCCCCGGGCUUAACCUGGGAAUGGCAUUUGGGACUGCAAGGCUGGAGUUUGGCAGAGGAGACUGGAAUUCCUGGUGUAGCAGUGAAAUGCGUAGAUAUCAGGAGGAAUACCGAUGGCGAAGGCAGGUCUCUGGGCCACUACUGACGCUGAGAAGCGAAAGCAUGGGGAGCGAACAGG
rnacentral:rRNA from 1 species